rnacentral:piRNA from 1 species
UAGUCAACGUGCAGGAUAUGAUGU